UACGUAGGGUGCAAGCGUUAAUCGGAAUUACUGGGCGUAAAGCGUGCGCAGGCGGUUAUGUAAGACAGGUGUGAAAUCCCCGGGCUUAACCUGGGAACUGCAUUUGUGACUGCAUAGCUAGAGUACGGUAGAGGGGGAUGGAAUUCCGCGUGUAGCAGUGAAAUGCGUAGAUAUGCGGAGGAAUACCGAUGGCGAAGGCAAUCCCCUGGACCUGUACUGACGCUCAUGCACGAAAGCGUGGGGAGCAAACAGG
rnacentral:rRNA from 1 species